rnacentral:rRNA from 1 species
UAGGGAAUCUUCCACAAUGGACGAAAGUCUGAUGGAGCAACGCCGCGUGAGUGAUGAAGGGUUUCGGCUCGUAAAACUCUGUUGUUGGAGAAGAACGGGUGUCAGAGUAACUGUUGACAUCGUGACGGUAUCCAACCAGAAAGCCACGGCUAACUACGUGCCAGCAGCCGCGGUAAUACGUAGGUGGCAAGCGUUGUCCGGAUUUAUUGGGCGUAAAGCGAGCGCAGGCGGUUUUUUAGGUCUGAUGUGAAAGCCUUCGGCUUAACCGGAGAAGUGCAUCGGAAACCGGGAGACUUGAGUGCAGAAGAGGACAGUGGAACUCCAUGUGUAGCGGUGAAAUGCGUAGAUAUAUGGAAGAACACCAGUGGCGAAGGCGGCUGUCUGGUCUGCAACUGACGCUGAGGCUCGAAAGCAUGGGUAGCGAACAGGAUUAGAUACCCUGGUAGUCCAUGCCGUAAACGAUGAGUGCUAAGUGUUGGAGGGUUUCCGCCCUUCAGUGCUGCAGCUAACGCAUUAAGCACUCCGC